rnacentral:lncRNA from 1 species
CGGCUGCUUCCUCUCCCUGCUCUCGGCCGCCGACCGGGCGCCAGCACCGGCACCCGCCACCCCACAGGACCCCCAGCUCUCCCCAGCAGCACCCCCACAGCAGCCAGGCAUCCCCAGCCCUGCACUGGGGGCUGCAGCACCCAGCAUCCGUCACCCAUUCCACCAGCUGCACCCCACCAGCCGUGGUGGGACUGCAGGGCUGUGGGGACGAGCAGCCCCAGUGUCCCCCCCUCUGCCCCAGGCACCAGCAUCCCACUGCCUGGCAUUUGCACCCAGGGGUGCCCCACAUACACCCCCAGCUCAGUCCAUCCCGCCCUGCUGCAAUCCCUGGCAGGAGCUUGGAAUGAGGGGAGGGUACCCAGGGGAUGCCCCCAACAAGGGGGACCCCCAUAUUGCUGCCCCAAGGGGCCAUGGGCAUGGGGCGAUCACCCCAAACCCCACAGCUGCUGGCAGCGGGGCAGGCUGGCUCUGUUCCUGGUGGGCCAUUCCAUUCUUGCUGGGCCCAGCUCCAUGGAUGGAGGUUUCCUGCCGGAGCCAGUGCAUUUGUGUUUCCGUAGCCCCCCCCCGAGCCGGAGGGACCCUGCAGCGAGGGGAAGGUGGCCCAGCAGCAGCCCAGACAGAGUGGAGCCAUGUGGCCACAUCGGUGCUGGGAGCGGAGGUGCCGCAGGGCCCAGGUGCAGGAGGAGAUCGAGCCUGGGGCCACCAAGGCGCCGGCUCUGCUGGCGGCUCCUUGCAGGGCCCUGCACGCUUCCUUCCUCCAGCCCAGCCCUGGCUUAUUGGCCGGGCAGGGUGAGGGGCGACCCUGCUCUCCCUUCCCCAGGCCUUCCGCUCCCCACGGCCCCGGGCAAGUUCCUGGCUCGCUGCCGCACUCCCACCGCACGUACAGCUGGCACCAGCAUCAUACAAUGGUUUGGGUUGGAAGGAACCUUAAAGAUCAUCCGCUGCCAGCCCCCUGCCACACCUCCCUCCAGACCAGGUUGCUCCAAGCCCCUUCCAACCUGGCCUUGAACCCCUCCAGGGAUGGGGCAGCCACAGCUUCUCUGGGCAACCUGGGCCAGGCUCUCACCACCCUCAC